AGAGCACAGAAGGAAAGGCUCCCUCCCUCCUGCUCUCUCUCCCUUCCUCCUCCUCCUCCUCCUCCCCCUUCUCCCCCUUCUCCCCCUUCCCCUUCCCCUUCUCCUCCUCCUUCUCCUCCUUCUCCUCCUCCUUCUCCUCUUCUUUUUUUCUUUGGUACCAAGGAUCAAACUCGGGACCUUGUGCUUUCGAGGCAGCAGCGGUGCCACUGAGCUACAUCCCCGGGCCUGUUCUUUGAAUUCUUAACGUGAUCUCAGGGCAUUUGGAAAUAUUUUUCUUAAAUUGCCUCAGUCCGUACCUGAGCUCGUAUUACCAGGAAGGAUAUGAAAGGAAAACGCAUCUCAGGGCAGUUUCCUGGAAGCGGGGCGGUGGGGAAACCGCGAUUGCCAGGGUAGAUCAGCCUAGGAACGCUGAAAGUGCAAGAAGGUAUUUCCAAAAUUCCAUUCUUUCCAAAAGUUGGACAGAAGACUAAGAGACGAAACACAUCUGCCAGACUAGUGAAAUAGGCAUGUUACCGCCUGGAGGAGGCAGCCCCAGGCGCGAUGACCUCUGGAUGCCUGGUGCCUGGCCAAGCCUUUUUCUUUUCUGGCCUUGUGAAGCUCCUUGGGCAGCAGCAGCAGUUGACCUGGGCAGGUGAAGGUCAGAAGACCCACACUGCAGGGUAGCUGUUUGGGUGAAGCAGAGAAAGGCCCACACCUUCUGCUUGGGGAUGCAGAACUCCCUGUGGCUGCUCUUCAGGAGCAAAGGGCCGUCUGGAAGAACGACCUCAGAAACCACGACCGAGUCACAGCCCCUGUGGCAGAGCAGCCGCCCUCGGGUUUGCACAGGCUGCUCACGAGCAGGAAGGAUCUGUCCUCUCUCCCACCGCCCUUGUGGAGGGACGAAGCCUCACAGAGUGGGAGUGGCUCGCCCGAGGUGGGCAUUUAUGAAUCGGGCUCAAUCGCACUGCCUGGUGCCGCAUCACGCUGCAAAGGCCGGGCUGCCCCUCAGGCUUUCGGGUGACAGUGCCCACCGGUUCCCUGGAAGCCCCCACUGCCCCCAGCCCAGAGCCGGUUUCUACCAAUACUCUCAGUGCUCCUAAAGCUCGGGCACUGAGGGAGACCCCGAGUGCUAUAAGGCGCUAUCAGUGCGCAUGCGUUUUAGAACCAAGCAUUGGGAGAUCGUCUCACGUGUCUUAGUCACCCUCUCACCACUGGGACUCAACACUUGAUGGCCACAGUUUAAGGGAAGGGAGGUUUGUUUUGGCUCACAGUUUGUAAGGUUUCAAUUUGUGGUCGGCUGGCUCCAGGGCAGGGCGGCAAGGCCAAGGGUUAGUAUGGCGUGAAGGUCACUAGGAAGGACACUGGACCUCGGCCCCUGGGCUCACCUCUGGUACCCUGGAUGACGCUUUUCCUCCAGGCUGCUUUCUCUCUGCAUGCAUAGUCAUCCUUUAAAUUUGAGGGAUUUCAUUAAAUUUAAAAAUUGUUAAGAAUUCCUCCUAAUUCUUUUUAUUUGUUGGUUUUUUGAAACAAGUUCUUGCUAUAUAGUUCACGAUGGCCUAGAAGUCACUAUGUAGCCCAAGAUGGCUUUGAACUCACAGUGAUCCUCCUGCCUCAGCCUCCCGAGUCCUAGGACACCAGGCUUUUUUUCUAACUCUAGUAUUGAAACAAGCGGGGCUCCCUGCCUCCCCCACUCUCUGAGCACCCUGUUCACAUCACUCAGGCCGGAGGAAGUGGUUGUGAGCAUCCAGCACUCCUGGGCCCUCUGCCACAGCACCCCUGUGAGUGCUGUGUGAGUGUGUGCGAGUCACAGUCCCCGAGGUUUGCCCUGCUCUUCCUGUCUACACAGGUUGCUUGGCUUACUGCCCUGUGGGGCGGUCGGUUCCUCUCUGUUCUCGGGUCACGGGGGACUCAGGUUGUUGUGGAUAUUUGACUCCCAGAAAUAAAGUUCUUAUGAACAUUUCCACACAGGCCCUUGUGUGAACGUAUAUGUUCAUUCCUCUGGGGUAAAAGCUUGAGAGAACUUACUGUCAUUUUGAGCUGUGAACAUUUAAAUGCUUGUCAGAUUUUUUUUUUAAUUUGGAUUUUUUUUUCCCUUUUAAUUUCUUUGGAGGGAAGGGAGGGAGAGAAGGGGAAGAAAAAAGAAUUAGGAUGUAUUAUGUCCAUGUACCCACUCCCCAGGAUGAAUGUAAUCAUUAUGUGUGGCAAACAUGCACUAAUAAAAAUUCUACAAAUUAAAAAAAUAAAAACUUGAAUUCUUAGAGUCAAAAGUAUAAGAUGUCAAGUAACCCAGCAGCUUACAGAUAAAAAUUUAACAUGAGAGUAUACUGCUUGUAAGUAGAGUGAAACGUUACUGCAUUUGACAUAGAAAUGGCCACAGGUUUUCAAAUUCUUUUUCGUUUGAUUUUUGUUCUUUGAGACAAGGUCUCACCCUGGAGCCCAGGCUGGCUUUGAACUCAAGGUGAUCCUCCUGCCUCUGCCUCUCCAGUGCUGAGAUUUAGGCAUGGAUCACCAUGCCCAGCGUUCAAAUUCUUAACACAGUGAGAAGUCUGCCACCUGUGCCUUGGGGGACACCCUGCUGCAGAGAAAGUGAAGCUGUGGGAGCGGUUUGCACAGAGCUUGGGAGCUUCUGGAGCAAAACCCAGCCUGCUUCUCUUGGGCGGAUCCAGCCAACAACAGGCGGGCGAGCAAGGACAGUUACCACCCCAGCCUUGAAGAGUGUACAAAGUCAGGCACCAGGGCGGGAAGAGGCUCGGCCCUCGGGGCCUCAUUCUGAGGGAGAGAUGCAAAAGAACCAGCCUCAGAGAGAUGCCCAGUCCUUGUCCUGACCCCUCAGCCAGCCAGGUGCACCCUCCAGGCGGGCCCUCCUGUGGGCAGUGGGGAGGAUCGGGGGAGCUGCAGAUAGAGGCUUCGGGGACUGGGCCUCCACGGUGCUGAGGAUGAGCCAGGCCUGGCACAGGGAGGCAAGGGCUCUUCCUCCAAGCCACACCCACCACCAGAGAACCAGGUUAAGGAUCCACUUAAAUGCAGACCAGAAGCAGGGGCAGGAGCAGACGUGUGUGCUGUGGGAACUGUGAGGGCAGAGCCCCAGGUAUGAGACAAGCAGGCUGCGGUAGAGUCCAGGGCCAGAAGCAUCCUGCCACGAUUCUCAGGGGUUCAAGAAUCAAUAAAAACAGCAACUGUAAUAAUCUCUUGUAUUUUGCCAAUGUUUACUAUAUGCAAAAUAUUUUCACUUAAUUAUCAUAUAGCGUAACUUUCCUUUUGAUAGAUUUAAUUUAUAUUUUCUCUAUGCUGCUCUU
rnacentral:lncRNA from 1 species